rnacentral:rRNA from 1 species
UACGAAGGGUGCAAGCGUUGUUCGGAAUUACUGGGCGUAAAGCGCGCGUAGGCGGAUCUGUAAGUUGAUUGUGAAAUCCCUGGGCUUAACCUGGGACGUGCAGUCAAAACUGCAGAUCUUGAAUGUCUGAGAGGAUGGCGGAAUUCCCGGUGUAGUAGUGAAAUACGUAGAUAUCGGGAAGAACACCUGAGGCGAAGGCGGCUAUCUGGCGGAACAUUGACGCUAAGGCGCGAAAGCGUGGGGAGCAAACAGG